rnacentral:rRNA from 1 species
UACGUAGGGUGCGAGCGUUGUCCGGAAUUAUUGGGCGUAAAGCGCGCGUAGGCGGCUACUUAAGUCGGAUGUGAAAGCCCUUGGCUCAACUGAGGAAGUGCACCCGAAACUGAGUAGCUGGAGUACGAAAGAGGGUCGCGGAAUUCCCGGUGUAGAGGUGAAAUUCGUAGAUAUCGGGAGGAACACCGGUGGCGAAGGCGGCGACCUGGGUCGAUACUGACGCUGAGGCGCGAAAGCGUGGGGAGCAAACAGG